rnacentral:rRNA from 1 species
GACGAACGCUGGCGGCGUGCUUAACACAUGCAAGUCGAACGGAAAGACCCUGCUUUUGUGGGUUGCUCGAGUGGCGAACAGGUGAGUAACACGUGAGUAACCUGCCCUUGACUUUGUGAUAACUUCACGAAACUCGGGCUAAUACCGGAUAUGAGCUCCUGCUGCAUGGUGGGGGUUGGAAAUUUUCGGCUGUUGGGGAUGGACUCGCGGCUUAUCAGCUUGUUGGUCGGGUAGUUGCUUACCAAGGCUUUGACGGGUAGCCGGCCUGAGAGGGUGACCGGACACAUUGGGACUGCGAUAGGGACCAGAAUGGUACGGGCGGCAGUAGUGGGGAAUAUUGCGCAACGGGCCGAAGCCUGAUGCGGCAAUGUCGCGUGCGGGAUGCCGGCCUUCGGGUUGUAAACCACUUUGGAAUGUGACGUAGACUGAGUGACGGUACCGGGUCAAAAAGCACCGGCUAACUACGUG